rnacentral:tRNA from 1 species
GGGGCCAUAGCUCAGAUGGGAGAGCGCUUGCAUGGCAUGCAAGAGGUCGCGCGUUCGAAUCGCGUUGGCUCCA